GAAUCUUGCACAAUGGAGGGAACUCUGAUGCAGCGACGUCGCGUGAACGAUGAAGGCCUUCGGGUCGUAAAGUUCUGUCCUAUGGGAAGAUAAUGACGGUACCAUAGAAGAAAGCCCCGGCUAACUACGUGCCAGCAGCCGCGGUAAUACGUAGGGGGCGAACGUUGUCCGGAAUUACUGGGCGUAAAGGGUACGCAGGCGGCCAAAUAAGUCAGGUGUGAAAUCCUAGGGCUCAACCCUAGUAAGCACUUGAAACUGUAUGGCUUGAGUUAAGGAGAGGAAAGUGGAAUUUCUGGUGUAGCGGUGAAAUGCGUAGAUAUCAGAAGGAAUACCAGUGGCGAAGGCGACUCUCUGGCCUUAAACUGACGCUGAGGUACGAAAGCGUGGGGAGCAAAC
rnacentral:rRNA from 1 species